ACUCAAAUCUUUCUUGAUAAUAUUCUUCAAACAAAACAACUUUAAUUUUUUAUUUUCUUUGUGUUUUACUGUCGAGAGAGAAAAAGAGGAAAGGGUGAAGAUGGAGUUGUUGAAAACGUGAAGAAGACGAUGAUUCUUGAUGAGAUUUUUGGCAUGCAGUGAUAGGAGAAAGAAGAAGAACACCAGAGAGUUAACAUGGUUCGACAAUAAGAGCCUACAUCAACGAGAGGAGCUAAUAUUUCAGAUUUCUUGGGGAGAUUAUAAGAUACAUAUGAGUUUCUUUAUAGUCUGGUUAUUUUGUACUCAUAUGAAUUUUCUGCUUUUUAUCCUUUAUUUAUAGGAUGAGUUACAAGGUAGUUAUGUGAGAAAAUAACAAAAAGUAAAGGUUGAUUUCUCCAUAUUAGCUAUUGUUUUGAUAGAUCGGGUAGAUAUAAAUGAUUUUCUAAUCAUUUUUUUUUAUAGAUCUAACUUUUUUUUUUUAGUAUACAUGAACGAUUUUAUAAUAGAUCUAAUUUUUUUUUUUUUAAUAUUUGGUUUCUCGCUAAAGAUUUGUAUGUUGUUGUCUUGAUUUCUUCAUGUUUUAUUCGUCCUUGCAUGUUUGAUUUUCCGAUUGUUAUUAGCUUUGUACUUUAUCUGAUUUUGGACUAUUCUGAUUUAGCUUCCAUUCCAAUUUGGGUAUCUUUUUUGCUUGCAUGUUUGUGAUUAACUAGGGUUUACUCUUAUAAAUUGUUCUCGGUCUCUUACAAUUUGUUUCCACUGGCUCAAAUGGGAUCUAUUUUUUUUAUCCAUUUAUAUUGUAUUUACUUCAUCUAUGUUCUUCCUUCCCCUGUUGAUAUCUGUUAUGUUUUCUAAUUGUCUUCCAUACUUUUUUCUUCCAGAUUUCCUCCUAUCACUUCAAUAAUAAACCACGUGUCCUUCCCUUGCCCUUUUUCUUAUUCUUUUUCAUCAAAAUUGAAUGGCAAGUAAAUUCUUGGUAGAGGAUAUUGACCAUGUUAUUGGAGCUUGGUGGGGUCAAUCCACCCCAACAACAGGCUCUGAGUCGAUUCUUCUACCCCUAGUUAUGGACUAUCUCAACCUUCAUUCAUUCCAAACAUAAUCAAAGGGCCGAAACUAAUCAAACAUACCUUUCGUACUAGUUUGAGGUUUGUAAGUUUAAAAAGUACACUUCAAAUUUGUAUAGAAUAAAAAAAAUUGUUUUUAUUUAUAUAAAAAAUAGCUAUAAAUACAUAAAGUUAACACUACAAGAAAAAUGGACUCUCCAGACGUUUAAAACAACCGUCGGAAUAUCGGUCGUCGGGAGAGAGACCAUCUCCCGACGAAGUAAGAAGGUCGAGAACUCCCGACGAAUUAUUUAAUGCGUCGGGAGUUCUAACGGUCUAUGGGAGAGCGUAGGGAGUUCCCAUUUAAAUUCCAGCCCCUCGUUUUCUUCCCUAAAUCUGCUUAUUUUCUCCCUUUUAAACCUUAGUACAGUAGCGAAAAUCGUCUGUCACUUCCCCAAAUCUUCAUCCUUCAUCCGAUCAUCGUCCACACGCUUGUUUGUCUGUGGGCUCGUUCAUCCGUCCGGGCCAACCCAACUUUCGUUUACCCGCGCGCUUGUUCGUCUAAUGGAGGUUUAUAUCUUUCACUUGAUUUAUUUAAAUGAUGAAGAUAUUUUGUUAAAUGAUGAGGAUAUUUUAUUAUAUUUUGUUAAAUGAUCACUUCUGUUCGUUCGCGCGCUCGAUUCACUAGGAUUUCAAAGUGGGAGAGAGACAAUCCUGAGCCUUUUCUCGUCUCUGAGGUGCCACUACAAGCAGACCUCGCCAAUGAAAGCUACUGCCGCUGAUUCUAUUGGUGUUUUUUGGGGACUCAGUCAAGCAUCAUUUCUAGCGAAUCGAACCAUUGGUCGAUCUCAUCACUGCCAUUUUCUCAUCGUUGAGUUGCCUGGGAGUUUCAGGAAAAUAGUCGUUCUUAAAUAUCGUAGAAUUGAAUCGCGGUGGCUAUGGAAAGCCGAACCUGUCGAUCCCGAAGCCCUUUCGAGUGGUGUCAUCCACGAAGAUUUUUUUUUUUUUUUUUUUAAAUGACUAUCUCCCAACGAUUCCAAUACAAGCGUCAAGAGUUCCAGUAACUCCCGAUGCUUCAUAUACUACAUCGGAAGUUCUAAUAACUCCCAACGCAGUAUAUGUAGCAUCGAGAGUUAUUAGAACUCUCGCUGGUAUAUGUUUCCAUGUCGGGAGUUUCUCUUCCGACGAGUAUCUCCCGACCAAACUUCCGAUGACGAGUUUUUCCUCGAGAAUGGAUCUC